rnacentral:tRNA from 1 species
GAGAGGAUUCUUUGAAAGAAAACUUGACCGAUAAUCAAGUUAAGUAGGUUUGAUUCCUUCUCCUCUUU